AAGAUCAUACUUCACAGGAUCAUUUCUGUAGUAUGCAUCGUCCCCUCCAGGUGCAAAUCUGGAGUCGUCAUUGGCCACGAUGAUGAGACUAGUCCAUUCACUUGAGCGUGAGACAGCUGGUGUUUAAUCGUUUGCGAUUCAAAAACAUUUCAGCGACGAUGAUCGCUUACGGUUCGCCGGUUGGUGGGUGGACAGUCUGAGUGGU
rnacentral:snoRNA from 1 species